AACGAACGCUGGCGGCAGCCCUUACACAUGCAAGUCGAGCGCGCCUUCGGGUGAGCGGCGGACGGGUUAGUAACGCGUGGGAACGUGCCCUUCUCUACGGAAUAGCCUCUGGAAACGGAGAGUAAUACCGUAUACGCCCUUUGGGGGAAAGAUUUAUCGGAGAAGGAUCGGCCCGCGUUAGAUUAGGUAGUUGGUGGGGUAACGGCCUACCAAGCCUACGAUCUAUAGCUGGUUUUAGAGGAUGAUCAGCAACACUGGGACUGAGACACGGCCCAGACUCCUACGGGAGGCAGCAGUGGGGAAUCUUGGACAAUGGGGGCAACCCUGAUCCAGCCAUGCCGCGUGAGUGAAGAAGGCCCUAGGGUCGUAAAACUCUUUCGCCUGUGAUGAUAAUGACAGUAGCAGGUAAAGAAACCCCGGCUAACUCCGUG
rnacentral:rRNA from 1 species